rnacentral:tRNA from 1 species
AUAAUUUUAAGUUACUAAAACUAUUAACCUUCAAAGUUAAAAUUAUAUUUAUAAUAAAAUAUAAAUUAUA